AUCAGAGUAGGUAAAGAGCGUAAAGUGUUAAGCUAUGGGUUGUCGAGCUUAAACGAAGGUCAUUUGACUGCGGUUCUUUAUCGCAACCGCUUUG
rnacentral:ncRNA from 2 species